rnacentral:rRNA from 1 species
CGGGGGGGGGUGCUUACACAUGCAAGUCGAACGAUGAACCACUUCGGUGGGGAUUAGUGGCGAACGGGUGAGUAACACGUGGGCAAUCUGCCCUGCACUCUGGGACAAGCCCUGGAAACGGGGUCUAAUACCGGAUACUGAUCCGUCUGGGCAUCCAGACGGUUCGAAAGCUCCGGCGGUGCAGGAUGAGCCCGCGGCCUAUCAGCUUGUUGGUGAGGUAGUGGCUCACCAAGGCGACGACGGGUAGCCGGCCUGAGAGGGCGACCGGCCACACUGGGACUGAGACACGGCCCAGACUCCUACGGGAGGCAGCAGUGGGGAAUAUUGCACAAUGGGCGAAAGCCUGAUGCAGCGACGCCGCGUGAGGGAUGACGGCCUUCGGGUUGUAAACCUCUUUCAGCAGGGAAGAAGCGAAAGUGACGGUACCUGCAGAAGAAGCGCCGGCUAACUACGUGCCAGCAGCCGCGGUAAUACGUAGGGCGCGAGCGUUGUCCGGAAUUAUUGGGCGUAAAGAGCUCGUAGGCGGCUUGUCACGUCGGUUGUGAAAGCCCGGGGCUUAACCCCGGGUCUGCAGUCUAUACUGGCAGGCUAGAGUU